rnacentral:lncRNA from 1 species
GACCACAGAGUUAUGUCUACAUAAGGAAAAGAAGUUGCACUCCCUCCUGGGGGAUGCAUCAGAAAGGCCCACCAGCCCAGGACCGAACAGCUCACAGUGGGCUGGGUUGCCCCACAUAAUCAGCAACUGUGAAUGCCGCAUAGACACGUGAGCACGGUCUUGCCAACCAAUCGGAUGGAAGAAUUCCUCAGUUGAGAUGCCCUCUUCCCAGGCCAUAGUCCAGGAGGAAACUUGACUGCAAAAGUUGAAUUAAGGACCUUGAAGACAUGAGCCCUGGAUACAGUCCAGUCUCCAAGCAUGGGUGUUCCCUUUUUUAACCUGUAAUGUCAAAAUACAGUUGGGUAGCACUGCAGCUUCCCGCGCACCCCUUUUGUGUUCCUGUCCUUUAAAAAUGCUAUACAAUCUCCCUUUAGGGACUUGGUUUAGGUCUCGAGCUAACCACCUCCCUGCGUGCUCAGAAAAUAAAGCUGUCAUUUGUAA